rnacentral:lncRNA from 1 species
CAUCCUUCUGGGACAGACAUUCCUAGACUGGCCUAGCAUUCAUAAAUAUCUGACUCCCAUCAUGACUCUAUUCACUUCAGGGUGUGGUGAUAGUAAUUCAGUGGUGUGUAAGGCUUCUCUGUGAUGCCCUUUGAUGUCUGUUGAUAUUACAGAGAAGUUGCCAUUGACACCGUCGGUGGCUGGCAGGUUACCAACACGAGGGAAGGAAACAGGAAGCUCUUCUGAGUGGACCAGAUGUGAAUCGGAAGUCCAUCUUAGUGACGCCGUUCUAUCAACAGCUGACCAGGCCUUCAUCACAAAGAAUCAUUGGUCUGGUUCAAGGCCCCUGGUCUCUGCUACACCAUCAAUGCUGGGCCCUCAUUGGGACUCUUCCUGGACACCCUGUUGCUGUCCUGUGUGGUGGAAAUCCUGCAGCCCUGGAUUCAUAGGACUGACCGCCUCCCCCACCAUGCUCCAGGAGAUCACAGAUGGGGUGGAUGUUGGGGUGGACAACACAUAACUCUGGUUCUGGGCUAAGUAGUAGCAGAGUUGGUCAGCUUGCCAGCUCUCCCCUUCUUCGCUACCAAGGGAGGACAUGGACAUGACCAACCUACUAGUGGUCACAGACCCAAAGAGGAGUGACUUUCUCUCCCCUAAGCGUCCAUCAACUGACAACAACUCUUCAGCUAAAGUGAAAUGGAACCAAGCUGUCCAUCCAGUGUCAUUGGCAUGAAUGGUCUCAGCACAAUCUCCUUCAGUGCAGAUGUGUCACAGUGCACAGCCAACUCUGAAAGCCAGCUGAAGAUUUGGACAAAUAGAGAAAUUAGGUCACCUUCACCUCCUGCUCCUAUGGUAGAAUAUUAUUUUAAGGUGUGUGACUUUUGUUUAUGCUGCAUUUGUUUAACUCUGUGAAACUGUGUUACCGUGCCUGUUCAAUACACCUGGUCAUCCUAAUAAAGAGCCAAACAGGCAAUAGUGAGGCAGGCGCAAGGAUAGGUGGGGCUGGCAGGCAGAGAGGAUAAAUAAAAGGAGAAACAAAUAAGCAAGCAGCAG